GCGCCUUUAGCUCAAUGGUAGAGCAAAUGACUCUUAAUCAUUAGGUUGAAGGUUCGAGUCCUUCAAGGCGCACCA
rnacentral:tRNA from 1 species